rnacentral:rRNA from 1 species
GGGUUGUGAGGUUAAGCGACUAAGCGUACACGGUGGAUGCCCUGGCAGUCAGAGGCGAUGAAGGACGUGCUAAUCUGCGAAAAGCGUCGGUAAGGUGAUAUGAACCGUUACAGCCGGCGAUGUCCGAAUGGGGAAACCCAGUGUGAUUCGUCACACUAUCGUUAACUGAAUACAUAGGUUAACGAGGCGAACCGGGGGAACUGAAACAUCUAAGUACCCCGAGGAAAAGAAAUCAACCGAGAUUCCCCCAGUAGCGGCGAGCGAACGGGGAGCAGCCCAGAGUCUGAAUCAGCUUGUGUGUUAGUGGAACGGUCUGGAAAGUCCGACGGUACAGGGUGAUAGUCCCGUACACCAAAAUGCACAGGCUGUGAACUCGAAGAGUAGGGCGGGACACGUGGUAUCCUGUCUGAAUAUGGGGGGACCAUCCUCCAAGGCUAAAUACUCCUGACUGACCGAUAGUGAACCAGUACCGUGAGGGAAAGGCGAAAAGAACCCCGGCGAGGGGAGUGAAAAAGAACCUGAAACCGUGUACGUACAAGCAGUGGGAGCACGCUUCGGCGUGUGACUGCGUACCUUUUGUAUAAUGGGUCAGCGACUUAUAUUCUGUAGCAAGGUUAACCGUAUAGGGGAGCCGCAGGGAAACCGAGUCUUAACUGGGCGUUAAGUUGCAGGGUAUAGACCCGAAACCCGGUGAUCUAGCCAUGGGCAGGUUGAAGGUUGGGUAACACUAACUGGAGGACCGAACCGACUAAUGUUGAAAAAUUAGCGGAUGACUUGUGGCUGGGGGUGAAAGGCCAAUCAAACCGGGAGAUAGCUGGUUCUCCCCGAAAGCUAUUUAGGUAGCGCCUCGUGAAUUCAUCUUCGGGGUAGAGCACUGUUUCGGCUAGGGGGUCAUCCCGACUUACCAACCCGAUGCAAACUACGAAUACCGAAGAAUGUUAUCACGGGAGACACACGGCGGGUGCUAACGUCCGUCGUGAAGAGGAAACAACCCAGACCGCCAGCUAAGGUCCCAAAGUCAUGGUUAAGUGGGAAACGAUGUGGGAAGGCACAGACAGCCGUGAUGUUGGCUUAGAAGCAGCCAUCAUUUAAAGAAAGCGUAAUAGCUCACUGGUCGAGUCGGCCUGCGCGGAAGAUGUAACGGGGCUAAACCAUGCACCGAAGCUGCGGCAGCGACACUAUGUGUUGUUGGGUAGGGGAGCGUUCUGUAAGCCUGCGAAGGUGACCUGUGAGGGUUGCUGGAGGUAUCAGAAGUGCGAAUGCUGACAUAAGUAACGAUAAAGCGGGUGAAAAGCCCGCUCGCCGGAAGACCAAGGGUUCCUGUCCAACGUUAAUCGGGGCAGGGUGAGUCGACCCUAAGGCGAGGCCGAAAGGCGUAGUCGAUGGGAAACAGGUUAAUAUUCCUGUACUUGGUGUUACUGCGAAGGGGGGACGGAGAAGGCUAUGUUAGCCGGGCGACGGUUGUCCCGGUUUAAGCAUGUAGGCUGGUUGUCCAGGCAAAUCCGGAUAAUCAAGGCUGAGGUGUGAUGACGAGGCACUACGGUGCUGAAGUAACAAAUGCCCUGCUUCCAGGAAAAGCCUCUAAGCAUCAGGUAACAUCAAAUCGUACCCCAAACCGACACAGGUGGUCAGGUAGAGAAUACCAAGGCGCUUGAGAGAACUCGGGUGAAGGAACUAGGCAAAAUGGUGCCGUAACUUCGGGAGAAGGCACGCUGGUGUGUAGGUGAAGUCCCUCGCGGAUGGAGCUGAGACCAGUCGAAGAUACCAGCUGGCUGCAACUGUUUAUUAAAACACAGCACUGUGCAAACACGAAAGUGGACGUAUACGGUGUGACGCCUGCCCGGUGCCGGAAGGUUAAUUGAUGGGGUUACCGUAAGAGAAGCUCUUGAUCGAAGCCCCGGUAAACGGCGGCCGUAACUAUAACGGUCCUAAGGUAGCGAAAUUCCUUGUCGGGUAAGUUCCGACCUGCACGAAUGGCGUAAUGAUGGCCAGGCUGUCUCCACCCGAGACUCAGUGAAAUUGAACUCGCUGUGAAGAUGCAGUGUACCCGCGGCAAGACGGAAAGACCCCGUGAACCUUUACUAUAGCUUGACACUGAACAUUGAGCCUUGAUGUGUAGGAUAGGUGGGAGGCUUUGAAGCGUGGACGCCAGUCUGCGUGGAGCCAACCUUGAAAUACCACCCUUUAAUGUUUGAUGUUCUAACGUUGGCCCCUUACCGGGGUUGCGGACAGUGUCUGGUGGGUAGUUUGACUGGGGCGGUCUCCUCCCAAAGCGUAACGGAGGAGCACGAAGGUUAGCUAAUCCUGGUCGGACAUCAGGAGGUUAGUGCAAUGGCAUAAGCUAGCUUGACUGCGAGCGUGACGGCGCGAGCAGGUGCGAAAGCAGGUCAUAGUGAUCCGGUGGUUCUGAAUGGAAGGGCCAUCGCUCAACGGAUAAAAGGUACUCCGGGGAUAACAGGCUGAUACCGCCCAAGAGUUCAUAUCGACGGCGGUGUUUGGCACCUCGAUGUCGGCUCAUCACAUCCUGGGGCUGAAGUAGGUCCCAAGGGUAUGGCUGUUCGCCGAUUUAAAGUGGUACGCGAGCUGGGUUUAGAACGUCGUGAGACAGUUCGGUCCCUAUCUGCCGUGGGCGCUGGAGAAUUGAGGGGGCUGCUCCUAGUACGAGAGGACCGGAGUGGACGCAUCACUGGUGUUCGGGUUGUCAUGCCAAUGGCACUGCCCGGUAGCUAAAUGCGGAAGAGAUAAGUGCUGAAAGCAUCUAAGCACGAAACUUGCCCCGAGAUGAGUUCUCCCUGAGACUUUAAGUCUCCUGAAGGAACGUUAAAGACGAUGACGUUGAUAGGCCGGGUGUGUAAGCGCAGCGAUGCGUUGAGCUAACCGGUACUAAUGAACCGUGAGGCUUAACCUUACAACGCCGAAG